GACGAACGCUGGCGGCAUGCCUAACACAUGCAAGUCGAACGAGACGUUCGGGUCUAGGGGCGCAGGGGGGCGUAAGGCGUGGGAAGCUGCACUUGGGUACGGAAUAACUCCCCGAAAGGGGUGCUAAUACCGGAUAAUGUCUUAGGACCAAAGAUUUAUCGCCGUUGGAUGGGCCCGCGUUGGAUUAGGUAGUUGGUAGGGUAAAAGCCUACCAAGGCGACGAUCCAUAGCUGGUCUGAGAGGAUGCUCAGCCACUCUGGGACUGAGACACGGCCCAGACUCCUACGCGAGGCAGCAGUGGGUAAUAUUGCACAAUGGGCGCAAGCCUGAUCCAGCAAUGCCGCGUGAGUGAUGAAGGCCUUAGUGUUGUAAAGCUCUUUUACCCGGGAUGAUAAUGACAGUACCGGGAGAAUAAGCUCCGGCUAACUCCGUG
rnacentral:rRNA from 1 species